GGGGAAAAAGCCCAUGAGGGGUGUGGGAGUCCCCAGCUUUGCUGUGAAGCGUAGCUAACAAUUUUGGGGGCUCGCCCACGGGAUCUGGCCACGCCUGAAGAGGGACCGAAGACGGGACGGCCGCUCGCUCUUCGGACCUCUGGGACAGCGCCAAGCGGGAGCAGCCUGGGACCGGCAACGAGGAGGAGGGCCGGAGGUUCUAAAGACUACCUGGAAGGAGAGGAAGUCACUAGAAAAUAUCUAAAAACCAUUGGACAAACCCUAGAAAAUCUCAGAAAGAAAGGAUAUCUUCCUCAAACUUCCCCUUUGGAUGCAAACAUGCAUAAUAUCAAUCCUGGAGAUUGGGUAUUGAUCAAAACAUGGAAUAAUACCCCGUUGACCCUGAAGUGUGAAGGUCCCUACCAAGUACUGUGAACAACUCACACAGCAGUGCGCACUGAAGAAAAAGGAUGGACCCACAUCACCAGAGUUAAAGGGCCAGUACCCCCUCCUGGAGAGAACCCGAGUUCAGCACCCUCACCGGAUGAAACCGAGAGGACAGUAACACCGCACCCGAAAGACUUGAAAUUAACCUUUAAAAAGAAAUAAGAGAUAACAGAGACUGUGAAAACCCUUUUUUCAGUUG